UACAGGGUGACAGCCCCGUACACAAAAAUGCACAUAUUGUGAGCUCGAUGAGUAGGGCGGGACACGUGGUAUCCUGUCUGAAUAUGGGGGGACCAUCCUCCAAGGCUAAAUACUCCUGACUGACCGAUAGUGAACCAGUACCGUGAGGGAAAGGCGAAAAGAACCCCGGCGAGGGGAGUGAAAAAGAACCUGAAACCGUGUACGUACAAGCAGUGGGAGCCUCUUUAUGGGGUGACUGCGUACCUUUUGUAUAAUGGGUCAGCGACUUAUAUUCUGUAGCAAGGUUAACCGAAUAGGGGAGCCGAAGGGAAACCGAGUCUUAACUGGGCGUUAAGUUGCAGGGUAUAGACCCGAAACCCGGUGAUCUAGCCAUGGGCAGGUUGAAGGUUGGGUAACACUAACUGGAGGACCGAACCGACUAAUGUUGAAAAAUUAGCGGAUGACUUGUGGCUGGGGGUGAAAGGCCAAUCAAACCGGGAGAUAGCUGGUUCUCCCCGAAAGCUAUUUAGGUAGCGCCUCGUGAAUUCAUCUCCGGGGGUAGAGCACUGUUUCGGCAAGGGGGUCAUCCCGACUUACCAACCCGAUGCAAACUGCGAAUACCGGAGAAUGUUAUCACGGGAGACACACGGCGGGUGCUAACGUCCGUCGUGAAGAGGGAAACAACCCAGACCGCCAGCUAAGGUCCCAAAGUCAUGGUUAAGUGGGAAACGAUGUGGGAAGGCCCAGACAGCCAGGAUGUUGGCUUAGAAGCAGCCAUCAUUUAAAGAAAGCGUAAUAGCUCACUGGUCGAGUCGGCCUGCGCGGAAGAUGUAACGGGGCUAAACCAUGCACCGAAGCUGCGGCAGCGACACUAUGUGUUGUUGGGUAGGGGAGCGUUCUGUAAGCCUGUGAAGGUGGCCUGUGAGGGUUGCUGGAGGUAUCAGAAGUGCGAAUGCUGACAUAAGUAACGAUAAAGCGGGUGAAAAGCCCGCUCGCCGGAAGACCAAGGGUUCCUGUCCAACGUUAAUCGGGGCAGGGUGAGUCGACCCCUAAGGCGAGGCCGAAAGGCGUAGUCGAUGGGAAACAGGUUAAUAUUCCUGUACUUGGUGUUACUGCGAAGGGGGGACGGAGAAGGCUAUGUUGGCCGGGCGACGGUUGUCCCGGUUUAAGCGUGUAGGCUGGUUUUCCAGGCAAAUCCGGAAAACCAAGGCUGAGGCGUGAUGACGAGGCACUACGGUGCUGAAGCGACAAAUGCCCUGCUUCCAGGAAAAGCCUCUAAGCAUCAGGUAACAUCAAAUCGUACCCCAAACCGACACAGGUGGUCAGGUAGAGAAUACCAAGGCGCUUGAGAGAACUCGGGUGAAGGAACUAGGCAAAAUGGUGCCGUAACUUCGGGAGAAGGCACGCUGAUAUGUAGGUGAAGCGACUUGCUCGUGGAGCUGAAAUCAGUCGAAGAUACCAGCUGGCUGCAACUGUUUAUUAAAAACACAGCACUGUGCAAACACGAAAGUGGACGUAUACGGUGUGACGCCUGCCCGGUGCCGGAAGGUUAAUUGAUGGGGUUAGCGGUAACGCGAAGCUCUUGAUCGAAGCCCCGGUAAACGGCGGCCGUAACUAUAACGGUCCUAAGGUAGCGAAAUUCCUUGUCGGGUAAGUUCCGACCUGCACGAAUGGCGUAAUGAUGGCCAGGCUGUCUCCACCCGAGACUCAGUGAAAUUGAACUCGCUGUGAAGAUGCAGUGUACCCGCGGCAAGACGGAAAGACCCCGUGAACCUUUACUAUAGCUUGACACUGAACAUUGAGCCUUGAUGUGUAGGAUAGGUGGGAGGCUUUGAAGUGUGGACGCCAGUCUGCAUGGAGCCGACCUUGAAAUACCACCCUUUAAUGUUUGAUGUUCUAACGUUGGCCCGUAAUCCGGGUUGCGGACAGUGUCUGGUGGGUAGUUUGACUGGGGCGGUCUCCUCCUAAAGAGUAACGGAGGAGCACGAAGGUUGGCUAAUCCUGGUCGGACAUCAGGAGGUUAGUGCAAUGGCAUAAGCCAGCUUGACUGCGAGCGUGACGGCGCGAGCAGGUGCGAAAGCAGGUCAUAGUGAUCCGGUGGUUCUGAAUGGAAGGGCCAUCGCUCAACGGAUAAAAGGUACUCCGGGGAUAACAGGCUGAUACCGCCCAAGAGUUCAUAUCGACGGCGGUGUUUGGCACCUCGAUGUCGGCUCAUCACAUCCUGGGGCUGAAGUAGGUCCCAAGGGUAUGGCUGUUCGCCAUUUAAAGUGGUACGCGAGCUGGGUUUAGAACGUCGUGAGACAGUUCGGUCCCUAUCUGCCGUGGGCGCUGGAGAACUGAGGGGGGCUGCUCCUAGUACGAGAGGACCGGAGUGGACGCAUCACUGGUGUUCGGGUUGUCAUGCCAAUGGCACUGCCCGGUAGCUAAAUGCGGAAGAGAUAAGUGCUGAAAGCAUCUAAGCACGAAACUUGCCCCGAGAUGAGUUCUCCCUGACUCCUUGAGAGUCCUGAAGGAACGUUGAAGACGACGACGUUGAUAGGCCGGGUGUGUAAGCGCAGCGAUGCGUUGAGCUAACCGGUACUAAUGAACCGUGAGGCUUAACCUU
rnacentral:rRNA from 1 species